UUCAUGCUCUGCCAUUCCAAAUCUUCAUUUCUGCAUUUCUCUAACUGUGUAUCCAACAGAAAUGAAAUAAACAUUUUUUGGACUGUCAAGAGAGCACACAAGG
rnacentral:miRNA from 1 species